GCCUCUAUGGACAAGUGGUAUGUCACCCAGAAAUAUUGGGCUAUAGUCAAUGAGUUCUUGGGAGAUGAGGGUUCAAUUCCCUCUAGGGGCA